AAACUAAACUUUUUCUUUCAGUCAGUAUUAGGGUUUUAAACCCUAAACUGAACUUUUCCUUUUAGUCAGCAUUAGGGUUUUAAACCCUAAACUAAACUUUUUCUUUCAGGCUGCAUUAGAGUUUUAAACCCUAAACUGAACUUUUUCUUUCAGUCAGCAUUAGGGUUUUAAACCCUAAACUGAACUUUUUCCUUUCAGCCAGCAUUAGGGUUUUAAACCCUAAACUGAGCUUUUCCAUGCAAUCAGCAUUAGGGUUUUAAACCCUAAACUGAAUUUUCCUUUUUAGUCAGCAUUAGGGUUUUAAACCCUAAACUGAACUUUUUCCAUUCAGCCAGCAUUAGGGUUUUAAACCCUAAACUGAGCUUUUCCAUACAAUCAGCAUUAGGGUUUUAAACCCUAAACUGAACUUUUUCCUUUCAGCCAGCAUUAAGGUUUUAAACCCUAAACUGAGCUUUUCCAUGCAAUCAGCAUUAGGGUUUUAAACCCUAAACUGAACUUUUCCUUCCAGUCAGCAUUAGGGUUUUAAACCCUAAACUGAGCUUUUCCAUGUAAUCAGCAUUAGGGUUUUAAACCCUAAACUGAAUUUUCCUUUUAGUCAGCAUUAGGGUUUUAAACCCUAAACUGAAUUUUUCCUUUAGUCAGCAUUAGGGUUUUAAACCCUAAACUGAACUUUUUCCUUUCAGCCAGCAUUAGGGUUUUAAACCCUAAACUGAGCUUUUCCAUGCAAUCAGCAUUAGGGUUUUAAACCCUAAACUGAAUUUUCCUUUUAGUCAGCAUUAGGGUUUUAAACCCUAAACUGAGCUUUUCCAUGUAAUCAGUAUUAGGGUUUUAAACCCUAAACUGAAUUUACCUUUUAGUCAGCAUUAGGGUUUUAAACCCUAAAUUGAGCUUUUCCAUGUAAUCAGCAUUAGGGUUUUAAACCCUAAACUGAACUUUUUCUUUCAGUCAGCAUUAGGGUUUUAAAACCUAAACUGAACUUUUCCUUUUAGUCAGCAUUAGGGUUUUAAACCCUAAACUGAACUUUUUCCUUUCAGCCAGCAUUAGGAUUUUAAACCCUAAACUUAGCUUUUCCAUGCAAUCAGCAUUAGG
rnacentral:lncRNA from 1 species